AGAGAGCGAGACUCCGUCUCAAAAAAAAAAAGAAAGAAAAAACAGAAAGAAAAGAAAAUGGCGGACAAAGGAAAGGAUCCUCCUUCAAGCAGGGUGGGGAAGAAGGGUACUCCGUGACCAGAGACCUUUUCCAGGACCAUGUCUUUGAAGCAAAUCUCAGCUCUUGUCUUCCGGAAGCGAUGGACACAGAAUCCAGAAGCCUGAGGUGAGAUUUGUGGCCAACACUGCCGCCUUUAGGAAGCCCAGCAGCGCGUCCUCUCAGGCCGGGUCCCUGGAUGAAGCCUCGCCCCGGCCGUGGCUCCACCCCCGGGCUUUUGUAGCACCCUAUAAUUACAUGAACUCUACUAAAAAGAGGGAUACUGGAAAGAAGAAUAAUGUUGAGUCACCUUUGCAGAAGAAAAAACAGCUUCCUCUCUUCCUCUACUUCACUCUGGCAAGUUCUCCAACUGAAAAGCCAGUAGGGAGUGCCAGAAUGUCAUGGCUGACAAAAGAGAUGUUAACAGGCUGUAUGACGUUGGCCACAGAGUGCCCCGCUAAAGAGGCCUCAGAAGAAUGAAGGGUAAGAAGCUCCUUCAUGAAAUCAGAUGGCACAAAAUUGGAGGAAAAAGAGCCCUUGGCAUGAGGCUGCCACCAGGAGAAUUCUGAAGAUGCAGGGCAUGAAUGGUCAAUGCCUUUGAUUAUUGGGGCAUAGGUGGAUGUCUCACCAGAGCCACCUAGAGAUAACAUCUCUGCAAAAGGCUUCAAAAUGGAGCAGGUAACCUGCCUUGAGGAUAAAAUCUGCCAAGAGAUGCCCCUUCCUCCUCUCUUUGAUAUGCAGCCUCAGCCAAGUUUUCAUCUAAUAAAUAUUUACUGCUGGAAGCUAGGAGACACAAGCCUCUGUAAGCCACGGGCUCUGCCCUUCACCUCAAGUGCCUAUUUUAUCAAUGAAUGAAACCGAAGCCCAGAGAGGGUAAGUGACUUCUCUAAAUCAGACAGUAGUAAAUAUCAGAGCCCUAAUGAAUAAAUUCUCUACAUUCAUAAUGCUUUUAUUUUACACAAAUUAAUAUGUAAUUUCUUAAAGUAAAAAGUAUACCCUAAUAUUAAAGUAGUUGGAUGGUUAAGAAUAUUCAUUUUGUCCGUUAAAUGCUGACAAAAUUGGGAAGGGAAAAGCUAUUUUUGGUACUCUAUCACCCAUUAGAUAACUUUUCCUUUCCACUCUUAGCAUCAAUGUCUUCAUAGUUUUUUUCCGUAGCCCCCUCUUAAAAUCUGUUUUCAAGAAUUAUAUUACAUACGACUUCCAGUAAUGUAUAAAAUAAAAGUUUAAAAUGCCAUCCCUCCCAGGAAAACAUUUCACAUAUUGUACAUACAUCUACCUCCAAGCCUUCUAAUAAGCUCCUACCAAAGCAUUUUAGGCAGCCUUUGGGAGGUGGCAGAGGUGGCUUCUGGUAGGAUGACACUGUCUCACCAUUGGCUCCAUGACAUCCUCCCAAUUUACCUACACUGCCACCCCGAAGGCUGUUCUUGGGAUUUCACACUGCACUUGGUUUUAUUAUUUCCAAGGAGGAAUCUUUUCCAGAAGCUCUUAGAGUAAUAUGCUACCACUUGAGGAUGCUCAGUAUAGAUAAACUAUUCAUUUAGGACUUUCAUAUGUUCCCAAUUUCCUAGGAAGUUUCCUCAAUGCUCACACCCUCACAUCCUGACCUCUGUCCCUGGGAUAAGUCACUUGGAGGCAGCUGUUUUCAGGAUGCCCAAAAGCCUGAAGCAGAACAGGUUCUGAGGCAAAAUCCUCUAUAAUUAUAUUUUAAAACAGUAGGUCUAUCCUGGCUCCUAGGGAGACCA